AUGGAAGAAAUCAAGAGAUCAACUUUUAUUGAAUCAUAACAGUACAUGAACACUUUUACAUCCUGAAUUUUCCCCUCUCAUUCCACUGACAUCGUUCUCGGCCAAGUUAUUGGAACAAGGCAAAGAAAGACAAGAUCGAGGCACCAAUCAAGGAGCCAACAACGGGUAAGCUAGCGGCGGCUCCGGUGUCUGGGCCAGGAGCCGGGGCAGCCGAUGGCACCUCGGUGACGGCCAUUGCGGCGCUCAUGGAGGCGGCGGCGACGAGAACAGCACAAGAAAAAGUUUGGACGCUUCAAGCAUGUUUCCAUUGUGUCACAUAUGACGAUGAACACAGACCCCCCCGCCGGUUACGUUGAUUAUGUUAGAUUCUUUUGCUCGGCAAAGAAAGGACCGAAGAGGCCUAUCAGAACAAAGAAGUUUCCCGAAAUAAGGCUCUCAAGUCUCAACAACACCGUUGUUACGUCAACAAUGUUUUAGCUGGACCGAAAGCGAGGUAACACCAUCUUCAGUGACUGAGAAAAGAUAACCUAUGCAGUAAUCCAUUUUACUUCACUACAACGUCAUACCUUGUUCUCGACAAGUGUUCAAAACCCAACAUGUGAAUGAUCCAAGCCCAUCUUAGGAUAUUCAAGUCAAAUGUAGUUUAAGUCAUCUGUUCUUGAUUGUUCCAGUAAAUUGUAACGUAAAUGGCUCAAUGAGAAUGCGAUGCCACCCCGCAAAAUUUCUGGUUAUGAUUGGUCUUGUGGGACUCAACAGCCGUAACCCAAAAGGCAUGGUUACUUCAGAAAUGGUUAAUGUUUCACUUCAUGUACCUCUUACCAUAUUGAAAAGGAAGUCUUUUCACAUGCGCUCCCCACCCCAACCCCCCCCCCCCAAAAAAAAAAGCCUAUAAAUUCAACACUUGGCUCUCUUCUGUACUAAAUAAUUCAGUCCCAACGCCCAAUAGUUUCUUUCCAGUCUCUUUGGACUUUAGCAUAACAGUGAUAU